rnacentral:rRNA from 1 species
AGUGGACGCUGGCGGUAGGCCUAACACAUGCAAGUCGAACGGCAGCACAGUAAGAGCUUGCUCUUACGGGUGGCGAGUGGCGGACGGGUGAGGAGUACAUCGGAAUCUACUUUUUCGUGGGGGAUAACGUAGGGAAACUUACGCUAAUACCGCAUACGACCUACGGGUGAAAGCAGGGGAUCUUCGGACCUUGCGCGAUUGAAUGAGCCGAUGUCGGAUUAGCUAGUUGGCGGGGUAAAGGCCCACCAAGGCGACGAUCCGUAGCUGGUCUGAGAGGAUGAUCAGCCACACUGGAACUGAGACACGGUCCAGACUCCUACGGGAGGCAGCAGUGGGGAAUAUUGGACAAUGGGCGCAAGCCUGAUCCAGCCAUACCGCGUGGGUGAAGAAGGCCUUCGGGUUGUAAAGCCCUUUUGUUGGGAAAGAAAAGCAGCAGGUUAAUACCCCGCUGUUCUGACGGUACCCAAAGAAUAAGCACCGGCUAACUUCGUG